UGACGGAACUGGUAUCACCUUUGCCAAAGACCAUCCAAUCAUCUGCAAAGAUCAAGUGAGUUAGCUUAAAUUUUUGACACAUGGGGUGAUGCUGAAACUCAGGCAGCUGACUCAUACACUUCAAUAUUCAAGUAAGGUACUCCAUAACCGAAACUAAUAUCAAAGGAGACAUGGGUUGCCCUUGCCUAAGUCUUCUCUUCCCUGCAAAGAAUCCAUGACCUACUUUAUUCACUUUGAUAGUAAAGUAAGAAGAAGAUACAUAAAGCAUGACCAUCUGAGUAAAACUUUCAGGAAAGCCAUAACCUCUUAGUGAUUCCUCCACAAAUUCACAUCUUAUCAUGUCAUACGCCUUCCUAAGGUCUAUUUUCAUCAAAUAUCUUGAUGCGGUCUUUCUCCGAUAAUGUCUUAACAAGUCAUUACAUGCCAGUAUAUUGUGAAUCAUAGAACUACCUUUCACAAAGGCAUUAGUUAUUUUUCACUAUACCAAUAAUAAUAUCCCUUAGUCUAGUACAUAUCAUCUUUGAGAUAUACUUGUAGAGCAUAUUACAAUAAGAUAUGGGACUGAACUGGCUGGAAAAUUCAGGAGUUGUAAGAUUUGGAAUCAAAACAAUAUUAGUGGUAUUAAUCCGCCUUAACAACUUUUUACUACUGAAGAAUUCAAGUAUUGCAUCUGUGACAUCUGUUCCUAUUUGCUCCCAGACAGCCUUAAAGAAAUUACUCCCAUAACCAUUUGGGCCAAGGCUUUUAUUACUAUCAAUUCAAAACAUAGCAGCUUUUACAUCCUUAGUUGUGUAUGGUUUAAGAUGUUCAAAUUGUUGAUCUAAGUUAAGACAUGGACCAUUCUUCAGAAAGCUAUUAAAAGCUGGUGGUUGCUAUCAUAUCUGGAUCAUAUUGCCACUAACCAAUUUUAUUCCUCAGAUGUGUUGUGGCUUGUAGUAGGUUUUUAUGUUUUAUAAUAUAAAAAAAGUAUUUAUUAUUAUCAUCUCUAAGUUUUAUCCAGCUAACCUUACUCCUCUGUUAGAGGAACAUCUCUGCCUUAUAUGAUGAUAUCCUGAAUUUUUUGUAAUUCUUCAAUUCAUUUGCUUGGUAGAGUAUAUUUUGGGGGCUCUAUUGUAGUAAUAUUUAAACCUAUGGUAUAGCUUUCCAAUCAUCUUGAGCCUCUGUAACAAUACUCCAAAAAGCUUGAGAGUUCAAAUCCUUCAGCCUUUUAUUCAAUAGUUUUAAUUUCCUGGUAACUUGCUUCAUAUUACAACCCUCUAUAUGAGUCUUCCAAACUUCUUCAACCUUCACCUUAAGCAGAGGAUGAGUUGACCAGACAUUGCAAUACUAAAAUGAAUUUUUAGUUCUUGAACCCCCAAUAGAUAAUGACAAAUUAAUGGGACAGUGAUCACUGAUAUUUUCAGGCAAAACUUAAACUAAACCAGUAGGCAUAGUUAUCAACCAGUUAUUGUUUAUUAAAACCCUGUUUAUUUUUUAGAAAAUCCUCUGACCCCACUUUUAUCAUUCCAUGUGUACUUUUGGCCUUGAAAAGGCAUUUUCAUAAACCCACAAGUAUUAAUAUAUUGUUGGAAAUCCUCUAUUUCAAACCAUGAUAUUGGGUUCCCCCAAUUCUAUCUUCCACGUUAAGAACUGAGUUAACAUCACUUAAGAUUACUCAAGGUGACUGACAAUUCAAAUUGAAAGUCAUGAGAUCAUCUAUAAUUCUUGUCUUCCCUCUUUAGUGUUAUAAGCAUAAACCAUAGUCAUAAUGAAUGUUGUCUACAUAAAAUUGUUCUUCACUAUACAUGUUAUCAAUUGUACAGUUGUUUCUAGGACACUUACAUUGAAAUAGUCCGGUCUCCAAGCUAUCCAAAUUCUCUCAUUAUAGUGAGAGCCAAGAUUUGUGACAAAGUGUGAUCCUUCAAACAUCUUUUGAGCUAUUUGAUAAAUGUUAUUAAUUCUUAUCUUAGUCUCCAGUAGUCCAACUAACCCCACAUUUUCAUUAUUGCAAAGAAACUUUACUUUCUUUUGCUUGUUAAUGGCAUCAAGCCCUCUAACAUUCCAACAAAGACAACUAUCCAUUCUGAGACAUGGGAAUAUUUAGUCCACCCAUACUUGUACUAGCAGUACUAUUAUCUUUAUUAAGAUUCUCCAACCUAUGUAGUGCCUGAAAAGUAUUAGAAUGUUCUAUUUAUUAUUGUUGUAUCUGAUAACUUAGUCCCCUAUUGGUUGGUUUAAGUUAUCUUAGUGACCACAUUUCGUACAUAAAUAUCUCUAUGUUCCUUCAAUAUUUCCUGAAUCUGUUAAGAACCUAGCUGAGUCACCAUCACUGGACUUGACUGAGGAGAUUUAGUGAUUACAGGUUGAGUAUCUUCUUAACCUAGUUAGACUGCUUUUAUCUUCUUCUUACCUUCAUCUACUUUCUUUUUCUUCCUCCUACACUUAUCAGCUGAAUGACCAUACUUAUCACUCACUUUACAUAGUGUUGGCUUCCACUCAUAGUUUUUCUUUUGUUCUACUAAUGUGCCUUUCUCAGUUUUAAAUAAUAUCACAUCUAGUAGCACUGUGUCUAUGCCUACAUCAACAAAUAAUCUAGCAAAAUUCAAGCCAAUUUUCCUCUCAGUAUUGUGGUCUACCAUUAAAGGUUUCCCAACUAAGCUUCCGAUCUUACUUAAUCCUUUAGGACUCCAAUAUUUAAAAUAGAGACCGGAAAGCUUAAUUCAAAUUGGUACAGUGUGUAACUGUCUCUUGUGAAUUUUAUCUAUGGACUCCAUGCCUUUCAAUGAAUGAUUUGUAAUCAAAAUGGUAUAUACCGCCUUAUAACACCUCCUGCUUCCUUGCUUCUGCAUAAAAAUGAACUAUAAUGAUCCCAUUCUUUAACAUUGCAAUUUUAUUAAUCCCUAAUUUAGACCAGAUUCGUUGGAUGAAACCUUUCAGAACUUCAAAUAGGGGAUGGGCUCCCAAAACAUGACAAACUACUACAAAUCUCCAAUAAGCAAUUUCAGAGCUAAUAUCUUCAAUUUCUAUCUCAAUUAAAGGGGACUCACAAUGCAUUUUCGAUUCUUCAAUUUCUAUGUCAAUUAAAGGGGACUCACAAUGCAUUUUCGAUUCUACAUACCCCACUUUGAAUUCAACAUUGGUGAUUUUGGUAAUGUCAAAUCUAUCCCAAAUUGAACUCUUCACAAAUGGAUUCACAUUUUCCUCUUCCACUUGAUCUGCCCAGAAUUUAUGCCCACUACUUGUUUGAUUUCUUGUCCUUGAGCUGGUAGUCGCUUGAAAUAGCUGCUCCCAUCGAUUUGAAGCCUUGGACUGUGAAAUUUGAUCGGGCGAUGAAGGACCCGUGACUAUUCCGUUGAAUUCCAUCUCCAAUUUUUUCAUUCUUACUUUGCUUCCUCGCUGAUACUGCCCUUGUUUCGCCGUCAUCUGAGCCUUUAGUGCCUUCUGAGAUGGCAGACAUGCUCUCUUCCCCAUGGUCGGCGCAAGUUAGUUAACGUGCAUAGAGAGAGAAAACAUGCCUAUCUCUUUUAUUGUUCGUACAAU
rnacentral:lncRNA from 1 species